GUGAGAUGAAUAAGUUUAUCCAUUCUCUGAGUGCUGCUGGCCUCCUGUCUCUGCAGCACCAGAGUCUGUUCUAGUCCCUCAGCUAGCAGUCCUGUGUUCUACUGGGGCUUGAUGAGCUGUUGCAGGAUAGGGGGGUCUGGCAGAACUAGAAUCUACCUCAGCGAAGACGAGUGAUACAAUAUGAUCAU